GCGCCGUUAGCUCAGGUGGUAGAGCAACUGCCUUUUAAGCAGAUGGUCACAGGUUCGAAUCCUGUACGGCGUACCA
rnacentral:tRNA from 2 species